rnacentral:snRNA from 1 species
GUGUGAUGGCAGCACAUAUACUAAAAUUGGAACGAUGCAAAGAUUAAUAUGGCCGCUGUCAGUUCGUGUAAAUUCGUGAAGCGUUCCAUAUUUUU